GUAGUGGUGGUUCAGUGGCAGAAUUCUUCCCUUCCAUGCAGGAAACCCGGGUUCAGUUCCCAGCCAGUGCA
rnacentral:tRNA from 1 species